GGGGAAUAUUGCACAAUGGAGGAAACUCUGAUGCAGCGACGCCGCGUGAAGGAUGAAGUAUUUCGGUAUGUAAACUUCUAUCAGCAGGGAAGAAAAUGACGGUACCUGACUAAGAAGCCCCGGCUAACUACGUGCCAGCAGCCGCGGUAAAACGUAGGGUGCAAGCGUUGUCCGGAAUUACUGGGUGUAAAGGGAGCGCAGGCGGGAAGACAAGUUGGAAGUGAAAACCAUGGGCUCAACCCAUGAAUUGCUUUCAAAACUGUUUUUCUUGAGUAGUGCAGAGGUAGAUGGAAUUCCCGGUGUAGCGGUGGAAUGCGUAGAUAUCGGGAGGAACACCAGUGGCGAAGGCGGUCUACUGGGCACCAACUGACGCUGAGGCUCGAAAGCAUGGGUAGCAAACAGGAUUAGAUACCCUGGUAGUCCAUGCCGUAAACGAUGAUUACUAGGUGUUGGGGGAUUGACCCCCUCAGUGCCGCAGUUAACACAAUAAGUAAUCCACCUGGGGAGUACGACCGCAAGGUUGAAACUCAAAGGAAUUGACGGGGGCCCGCACAAGCAGUGGAGUAUGUGGUUUAAUUCGAAGCAACGCGAAGAACCUUACCAGGUCUUGACAUCCGAUGCAUAGCACAGAGAUGUGUGAAAUCCUUCGGGACAUCGAGACAGGUGGUGCAUGGUUGUCGUCAGCUCGUGUCGUGAGAUGUUGGGUUAAGUCCCGCAACGAGCGCAACCCUUAUUGCCAGUUACUACGUUAAGAGGACUCUGGCGAGACUGCCGUUGACAAAACGGAGGAAGGUGGGGAUGACGUCAAAUCAUCAUGCCCUUUAUGACCUGGGCUACACACGUACUACAAUGGCGUUAAACAAAGAGAAGCAAGACCGCGAGGUGGAGCAAAACUCAAAAACAACGUCUCAGUUCAGAUUGCAGGCUGCAACUCGCCUGCAUGAAGUCGGAAUUGCUAGUAAUCGCGGAUCAGCAUGCCGCGGUGAAUACGUUCCCG
rnacentral:rRNA from 1 species